rnacentral:rRNA from 1 species
GACAGAGGAGGCAAGCGUUAUCCGGAAUUAUUGGGCGUAAAGGGUACGUCGGCGGCUGGUCAAGUCUGGGGUCAAAGGCCACAGCUCAACUGUGGGAAGGCCCUGGAAACUGACCGGCUAGAGUGAGGUAGGGGUUGCGGGAAUUCCCGGUGUAGCGGUGAAAUGCGUAGAUAUCGGGAAGAACACCUGAGGCGAAAGCGAGCAACUGGGCCCUAACUGACGCUGAGGUACGAAAGCUAGGGGAGCGAAGGGG